rnacentral:rRNA from 1 species
CACGUAGGGCGCGAGCGUUGUCCGGAAUUAUUGGGCGUAAAGAGCUCGUAGGCGGCCUGUUGCGUCCGCUGUGAAAGCCCGGGGCUUAACCCCGGGUCGGCAGUGGAUACGGGCAGGCUAGAGGUAGGUAGGGGAGAAUGGAAUUCCCGGUGUAGCGGUGAAAUGCGCAGAUAUCAGGAGGAACACCAGUGGCGAAGGCGGUGCUCUGGGCCGGAACUGACGCUGAGGAGCGAAAGCGUGGGGAGCAAACAGG